rnacentral:tRNA from 1 species
AUUGAAUUGUCAGAUUUAUGUAUUAAAUUUAGAAUUUAAUUAAGUAGUUAAAAUUACAUUCAAUA